rnacentral:misc_RNA from 1 species
GCCCGACUCCGAACCGAGCCACGGGGGCACAGCCGGAGACCGRACAGACGGUCGUUCGCAUGAAGCGUAGAACGCUUUUUUGUSGUGCUCCGAGGCCGAUGCCCCGUACCCACAUGAUAUUCCAUACUCGAGAGACCGAGCAACCCGUCUUGGUUCGUCGACCUGGACGCCGUUUCAGGGGCGAACAGGGCGCGAGACACGACGUGCGCUAUUUGGCCCACCCCGYGCCACAUCACCUUUUGAGGGCAGCAGCACAGGACGGGAAUGGAACGAUGGUAGCCUAUAGAAUGCCCUUGCGAUAGGUAUGAAGCACAGGAAAACYGACGUCGGACGAGCACUUACUCGUUCCAACAACUGAAGAGGCGCGGACGGGAUGUCGUCGCUGCCUGAGCAGGGAUCCGACAUGCCRUUGCGCGCCAAUCACCAC